rnacentral:rRNA from 1 species
CACGUAGUUAGCCGGCGCUUCUUCUGCAGGUACCGUCACAAAAGCUUCUUCCCUGCUGAAAGCGGUUUACGACCCGAAGGCCGUCAUCCCGCACGCGGCGUCGCUGCAUCAGGCUUGCGCCCAUUGUGCAAUAUUCCCCACUGCUGCCUCCCGUAGGAGUCUGGGCCGUGUCUCAGUCCCAGUGUGGCCGGUCACCCUCUCAGGCCGGCUACCCGUCAAAGCCACGGUGAGCCACUACCCCACCGUCAAGCUGAUAGGCCGCGAGCCCAUCCAAGACCGAUAAAAUCUUUCCACCCCACACCAUGCGGUGCGAAGUACUAUCCGGUAUUAGACCCAGUUUCCCAGGCUUAUCCCAGAGUCAAGGGCAGGUUACUCACGUGAUACUCACCCGUUCGCCACUAAUCCCACCCUGCAAGCAGGAGCUUCAUCGUUCGACUUGCAUGUGUUAAGCACGCCGCCAGCGUUCACUCCUGAGCCAGGAUACAAAACUCU